rnacentral:rRNA from 1 species
GACGAACCGUGCGAACGUUAUUCGGAAUCACUGGGCUUAAAGCGCGUGUAGGCGGGUCGGCACGUCGGUCGCUGAAAUCCCCCGGCUCAACCGGGGAAGGGGCGCCGAUACGGCCGGCCUCGAGGGGAGUAGGGGGACCUGGAACUUCCGGUGGAGCGGUGAAAUGCGUUGAGAUCGGAAGGAACGCCCGUGGCGAAAGCGAGGUCCUGGGCUCUUACUGACGCUGAGACGCGAAAGCGUGGGGAGCAAACAGG